UACAGAGGGUGCGAGCGUUAAUCGGAAUUACUGGGCGUAAAGCGCGCGUAGGCGGUUUUGUAAGUCGGGUGUGAAAUCCCCAGGCUCAACCUGGGAACUGCGUUCGAGACUGCAUAGCUAGAGUAUGGGAGAGGGAAGUGGAAUUUCAGGUGUAGCGGUGAAAUGCGCAGAUAUCAGGAGGAACACCGGUGGCGAAGGCGGGUCUCUGGGCCGAUACUGACGCUGAGGAGCGAAAGCGUGGGGAGCGAACAGG
rnacentral:rRNA from 1 species